rnacentral:rRNA from 1 species
UACGUAGGGGGCAAGCGUUAUCCAGAUUUACUGGGCGUAAAGAGCGUGUAGGCGGCCAGGUAGGUCUGCUGUGAAAACUUGAGGCUUAACCUCGAGCUGUCGGCGGAAACCAUCUGGCUAGAGUCCGGAAGAGGAGAAUGGAAUUCCCGGUGUAGCGGUGAAAUGCGCAGAUAUCGGGAAGAACACCCGUGGCGAAGGCGGUUCUCUGGGACGGUACUGACGCUGAGACGCGAAAGCGUGGGGAGCGAACAGG